CCCACCGCCCACGCCGCCUUGCACCUACGCUACUAUUGAUUUUCCACUCAACGGUAAAAAUGGAGUCAUCAAAGCUCAGAUUCCUCAGAAGCAAACUCACCAAACUGCAAAUCCAUUAAAUCACGUACCUUCACGGUUCUGCAAAUCCAAAUUUGUUCUCCGUUCACGGAAUCACGGUUCACCGGGGCACCGGGCCUUCCGCCAGACCGCCAGUUCCGAGUCCGACCUCUGCAGACCGCAGUUCCGCUUUCAUGAUAGAUUCUGCCUUCGCGGCUUCGCCUAAUUACCUUCACCGCUUCACGAGCUCACGGCUUCACCGAAUUUCAAACCCACAAAGAAUUACAGGAAGAGGAAGUAAUGCAUUCUCAUCAAAUCUUGAUUUAAGAAGCACGAGGAAAUACUGCUUGCUGUCAAACUUACUCUAAUUAACUGAUUCACAAGUGCAAACGCUACACAGGUGCUUUUGUUCCUUUUUUUUAGAUCAAUUUUGUAAUAAUUUUGUUUAUACAAUGUUGCCUAAAAAUAUUUAUCUGGAAGUGAAAAACGAAAAAAAAAAAAAAAAAGAGAAGAAGUUGAGCAGUAAAUAGACUCACAAAGAGGAGCUAUGAAUACAUUUAUUAAAAUAGUAGGAUCCUCUAAUGAAAAUUUAGAAAGACCAACUGUAGAUAAUCUUGAACAAUCUAAUGAAAAUUUGAGUAAUCAAGAUCAUGUUGAUGAUGAUUUUGCUAAUAGU